GUGCGCAAUGCUGCCAAACUAUACCAACUUCCGUUCCAACGGAUGUAUCACAAACACGACUACAAUAGCCUUAGUUCAAGAAACAAAAGCCAAUUGACAGUAAAUUAGGAGUUCGGUGAAUAUUUUCUCAAGACGAAAAUGUCUAUGUGAACCAGCUCAAUGGUGGUGAUUUUUAUGGCGCUAGUUUGUUCUUGGAAACAACCGGUUACCGAUGAUGACGAUUACAAGUCAAACUGACACCCCAAUAUAGCUCUCGAGAUUUGGAAAGACUAACUUAACAAAUCAAAUAUAAAUUAUAAAGAUUGUCAGAGGUGGAUGGGGCUUUACUGAACAUUAAAUGAAGUACCUUUUGAAUAUCGUUCCACUGACAAAUGGAUACAUAUACUGGGAUCAAGCGUUCAUACAGUUGUAGAAUAAGUAUAUAGGACAUUGAAUUGUUUACAAAGAAAAACUUAAAAAAGCUAUUAUGAAGUUCAAUACAGUUAAUGAUGGGCUUCGAAUGAAUUAAUUGUUAAGAAUCAAGCUACUUGGUUUCCAAUUAUUAAUAUUUCCAAAACGAAAAAGGAAAUGCAUACUGGAUGUUCAUGAGUCAUCGCUGUUAUUCCUAAUCUUUGCAACAUAAAGAUUUCGUUUUUUAAUACGAAUGAGGAGAAUGGGCAAAACGACUAGGGAUAUUGUGCCAAACAAACGAUUUAAUUCAGUAAUGUUGAUUCAAGUUUCGUGGCAGAAACACAUUGAUAACCUUAUAAGCUUAAAUAACACAUAGAUUGAUAUUCGUUCCAACAUUUUCAUAGCUACAUCGCUAAUCAUUACAUCGAGCAAAGCUCUUUUCAAAUGUACAGUCGUCUGAUUCCUUCCAACGUAAACAAAUGUACAUUGACUUGCUGUCCCACUGGGAGGUCCUUUUUUCCCUUAAUAUUUACUAGCGUAUAAUAUCAAGCUCCCAUGGGAUCAUAAAAACCAAUUUACAAAAAGACAGAAGAAAGAUGAGACGGAUGAGACGAAUGAGAUAAUCGGGAUAUAUACGGUACCGUCCUCGUAGAAAUGAAAGAAAGUAACGCUUAUGCAAAGUAUUGCAGAGUCUUAGAUUUGCGCAUUUGUACUUCCAAUAUACCAUCCAUAAAAUGUUCAUGAUUAAUUUUAGUAUCACCUUGACGAAGAGCAAUCAUACCCGCUUCAACGCAAACGCUCUUCAACAUGGCACCAUUAUAUUCAUCUGUACUUCUCGCCAACUCCUCCCAGUUAAUAUCGUCGUCAAUGGCCAUUUUACGUGAAUGAAUGCGUAAAAUACCAACACGAGCUUCUUCAUUGGGAAGAGGAAAUUCGAGUUUUCGGUCCAGACGACCAGAACGUAACAGAGCCGGAUCCAACGUAUCUACACGAUUUGUAGCAGCAAUCACCUUGACACGGUCAUCACUACUAAAACCAUCGAGUUGAUUGAGGAGCUCCAGCAUAGUACGUUGGACUUCACGAUCACCGGCUUUUUCAGAAUCAAAACGCUUGGUACCAAUAGCAUCUAAUUCAUCAAUAAAUAUAAUGGCAGGGCUUUUUUCUUUGGCCAAGGCGAAAGCAUCGCGAACGAGUUUAGCGCCAUCACCAAUAAACAUUUGAACAAGUUGAGGAGCCGCAAGUUUUAGGAAUGUAGCAUUGGACUGGGCAGCACAGGCACGAGCUAAUAAGGUCUUACCAGUGCCAGGGGGACCAAACAUCAAACAUCCCUUGGGAGGUUUCACGCCAAGUUUACGGAAUUUAUCAGCCUGCUGCAUGGGCAAAACGAUGGCUUCAAACAGUUCUUCUAUUUGUUUUGAUAAACCACCAAUAUCUGAAUAACGCUCUGUGGGUUUUUCGUCUACUUCCAUAGCCUUAACACGGCUAUCAUACUCUGAAGGUAAUUUAUCAAUGAUCAGGUAAGAAUCUUUGUUGACACCAAUAAGAUCACCCGGAUGAAGCUCUUCAGGUUCAACAAGACCGAUUAAGGGAAGGAAGAUGGUUUGACGAGUAGAUGUCUUAAUAACGGCUGACUUGCCAACACGAGUAGCCUCAGAGUUUUGGUUAGCUGAUUCUUGGACAUCAACUUCAUCAGGUUGCAUAUCUAAAAUUUCAACAACGUUUCCUACCAAAUAAGGUAGCAUCUUAUUAUUCGAAAUUUUUUCUUGGUUUUCUUUGAUUUUUUCGAGCAUGGUGCUCUUUUCAUGAGUUAAUCUUUGAAACUCGGAUUUCAUAACCUACAAUCUAUGUUAGUGAAUUUUACUUCUAGAAAAGAACAUUCGACCGCAUUCAUCUUUCCACCUUCAUUUAAGGAUGAGGGCAAAACAUUAUCAGAUCUUCGUUCUCUGUGAAUAAAGAAAUUAUAAAAGAAAAAGAUUUCGGUUUUCCCAACACUUAUCUAGAGGUUCAUUGAAUGACUUACCUUAAUAUCAUUUUCCAACAAUCGUGUCCGACUAUUCAAUUCAUCUAUACCGGCGGCCAAAAUUUCUUGUUCAAUUCCAUCCAAACCUUCAUUAUUGGAGGAUCCUCCCUGCUGGGAUUGAUCUAGCGCGUCUAAUUCUUCGAGAGUUGACAUGUGUGUUCCGGUUAGGUUAAAACGACUAAGGCGUGUACUCCUAUAGCAUCAUAAAAAAGUGUAGAUUUUUAUACAUGAUUAUUAUUUUUUUU